rnacentral:rRNA from 1 species
UACGUAGGGUGCGAGCGUUAAUCGGAAUUACUGGGCGUAAAGCGUGCGCAGGCGGUUCGCCGUGUCCGAUGUGAAAGCCCCGGGCUUAACCUGGGAAUGGCAUUGGAAACUGGCGGGCUGGAGUGUGGCAGAGGGGGGUGGAAUUCCACGUGUAGCAGUGAAAUGCGUAGAGAUGUGGAGGAACACCGAUGGCGAAGGCAGCCCCCUGGGCCAACACUGACGCCUCAGGCACGAAGCGUGGGGAGCAAACAGG